UCUUGCGCAAUGGGCGAAAGCCUGACGCAGCGACGCCGCGUGAGUGAUGAAGGCCCUCGGGUUGUAAAGCUCUGUGGGGAGAGAAGAAUAAGUGCAGGCUAAUACUCUGCAUGAUGACGGUAUCUCCUUAGCAAGCACCGGCUAACUCUGUGCCAGCAGCCGCGGUAAGACAGAGGGUGCAAACGUUGUUCGGAAUCACUGGGCGUAAAGCGCGUGUAGGCGGCUUCUCAAGUCGGGUGUGAAAUCCCAGGGCUCAACCCUGGAAGUGCAUUCGAAACUGGGUCGCUAGAGUACUGGAGAGGAAGGUGGAAUGCUUGGUGUAGAGGUGAAAUUCGUAGAUAUCAAGCGGAACACCGGUGGCGAAGGCGGCCUUCUGGACAGAUACUGACGCUGAGACGCGAAAGCGGGGGGAGCAAACAGG
rnacentral:rRNA from 1 species